CCUACGGGGGGCUGCAGUGAGGAAUAUUGGUCAAUGGACGAGAGUCUGAACCAGCCAAGUAGCGUGAAGGAUGACUGCCCUAUGGGUUGUAAACUUCUUUUAUAUGGGAGUAAAAUGUUCCACGUGUGGGAUUUUGUAUGUACCAGAUGAAAAAGGAGCGGCUAACUCCGUGCCAGCAGCCGCGGUAAUACGGAGGAUCCGAGCGUUAUCCGGAUUUAUUGGGUUUAAAGGGAGCGUAGGUGGAUUGUUAAGUCAGUUGUGAAAGUUUGCGGCUCAACCGUAAAAUUGCAGUUGAAACUGGCGAUCUUGAGUACAGUAGAGGUAGGCGGAAUUCGUGGUGUAGCGGUGAAAUGCUUAGAUAUCACGAAGAACUCCGAUUGCGAAGGCAGUUCACUGGACUGCAACUGACGCUGAGGCUCGAAAGUGUGGGUAUCAAACAGGAUUAGAUACCCUGGUAGUC
rnacentral:rRNA from 1 species